UACGGAGGGUGCAAGUGUUAUUCGGAAUCACUGGGCGUAAAGAGCACGUAGGCGGAUAGGCAAGUCAGGCGUGAAAGCCCGGGGCUCAACCCCGGAACUGCGUUUGAUACUGUCUGUCUUGAGUAUGGUAGAGGGGGAUGGAAUUCCCGGUGUAGAGGUGAAAUUCGUAGAUAUCGGGAGGAACACCAGAGGCGAAGGCGAUCCCCUGGGCCAUUACUGACGCUGAGGUGCGAAAGCGUGGGGAGCAAACAGG
rnacentral:rRNA from 1 species